GUGGGUAUAGCUCAGUGGUAGAGCACAUGCCUAGCAUGCAUGAGGUCCUGGGUUCAACCCCCAGUACCACCA
rnacentral:tRNA from 1 species